UUGAGCCUGUGGCGUCUAGGCUCGACUCGCUGCGGUUGGUGGAGGUGACGGAGGUUGCAGCUUGGCCAGCAUGGUAGAAAGGUGGCAGGGUAGGUGAGCUAUCCAGCGAUGCACUACCCUGGAUAGGAGCACUAUCAAGGUCACAUUGCUGGCACAUCUGGCUUUUACCACCCAGAUGCUUCGAGCCAGGAGCUGGAGGAGUCAUCUGUUGCACCCUGGAGGCUGGAGCCUGCAGAUGGCAUGGUUCUGUGGCUCCCCUCGCUGCAGUUGGUGGCAGAGACAGAGACUGCAGCUUGACCGGAGUGGUGGAGUGAGUAUUGUCAUCUGCAUGAGCAAAUCUGGUUCAUCACAUCUUUGCAACAGGAAAAGGAAGGGAGGAUCAUGUGUAUAAUGUUUUAAGGCCAAGAUUCACAGCAAGAACAAAGUCUUUAUUAACUUUUGCCUUCAAGAACCUGCAGU